GGACUGAUGGGUGGUUGUUUUUUCGUUGUUAUUCUGAAUCUCGGAGUUGUAUCUCCUUUCGCUAUUCCCUACUUUCGUCUUGUGUCUAGACGAGUACUCUUUUUCCUAUUCACGGUUUUUCCCACUGGGUUUUCCGUGAAAAGGUUUUAAUGAGACUCGGCCCUUAGUCUGCUCUUUCUGUGCUUUCAAGGGUUUUUUUAGGUUUUUUUCUUUUCUUUUUUAUAUAAAAUUG
rnacentral:lncRNA from 1 species